CCCUUAGAUGUUCUGGUCCGCACGCGUGCUACACUGAGUGGAUCAGCGGGUCAGCUUGCGCGAAAGCGUUUCCUAAUCUUUAAAUCCGCUCGUUAUGGGGAUUGACGGUUGCAAUUUUCUGUCAUGAACGAGGAAUACCUUGUAAGCGCGGGUCAUCAUCCCGCGCUGAAUACGUCCCUGCCCUUUGUACACACCGCCCGUCGCUCCUACCGAUUGAAUGAUUCGGUGAAGAUUCCGGACCGUGUUGUCACCGCUUCACGGCGGUUUUGACGUGGGAAGUUAUCUAAACCUCAUCAUUUAGAGGAAGGUGAAGUCGUAACA
rnacentral:rRNA from 1 species